UCACGGCUAAACAAUGAGGGAGCCUGAGAAACGGCUACCAAAUCCAAGGAAGGCAGCAGGCGCGCAAAUUACCCACUCCCGACUCGGGGAGGUAGUGAC